UUGAACUAUUCUACUCUCCCAAAUCCUCUCUAACUCCUACAAACCAUAGCCUCCGCCAUCAAACUACAACCUUAAUACCUCCCUAAUCCAUGGCCUUCCGUGUUCAUUUGAGACUUGUACCUGCCUUCCAUGGCUCCUAUGUGUUUGCUCUCAUGGUUUCAAGGCAAGAUCUUGAAAGAGCUUGGUCCAGGCCUAGUUCGACUUCAGUUCAUGAC
rnacentral:lncRNA from 1 species